UACGGAGGGUGCAAGCGUUGUUCGGAAUCACUGGGCGUAAAGCGUCCGCAGGCGGCUUGGUAAGUCGGGUGUGAAAGCCCGGGGCUCAACUCCGGAACUGCAUUCGAAACUGCCUGGCUUGAGUACGGGAGAGGGUCGUGGAAUUCCUGGUGUAGAGGUGAAAUUCGUAGAUAUCAGGAGGAACACCGGUGGCGAAAGCGGCGACCUGGCCCGAUACUGACGCUCAUGGACGAAAGCGUGGGGAGCAAACAGG
rnacentral:rRNA from 1 species